AUCAGGCGAUCUUGUGAGUAGAGUAAGCAGCAAAGAAGACUAUGCAAAAUGAUAAAGUUGUUUCUUUAAUUUGCUUCAAAUAUUUUUAUAUUUUUUGAAAGACCAUUAAUAAUAAGUGAGUGUCCACUGUGAUUAAUAGUCAGCUAUUCAAAGGGUUGCCACCUAGUUUUGCCAUUCGCCCCCGCUCUUCACAAAUCAGUUUUUUCUCUUCUUUCGCGUGUGAAACAAUUGCAACUAGUGAGAAAGCAGUAGCAUAAAAAUUAGUGCAAAAAGAAAUACACAAAACAAAAUAAACGAAAAAACCAAACGAACUACAAUAAAAUAAUAAUAUUAAUAAAUAAAGUGCAAUCAAUUAAGUGCAAUUGGCAAUUACAAUUGGCAAAUGGCGCAUUGCAAGUGCAAGUGGCCAACCUCCGCCCCCCGCUCUCAUCAUUACCACCAUCAUCAUAAUGAUUGCCAGCAAAGACAAAACGGGCAAAGACAAGAUGCGUUGUGAACUGAUUUGAUGAUUAUUUUUUGGAAAUUUGUUGUGGUUCAAUUUGAAACUGAUUUAGGAAGUCAAAGCCGACGUUACGCUCGACAGCAUAAAUUUCAAUGUACGAAAAUUGGUAAAGAAAG